CUCGCGACGCACGCAAUGUGUCGGCAGCACGUGUGUAGGAAACACGCGACAAAAAUUAAAAAUGCCCGGUUAUUCAUCCAUUGGGCUCAAUGGCGUGAGCGAUAGUUAUCUUCUUUUAGAAGAUGGUAGCAUAUUUUUGGGAAAACACUUUGGUGCCGAUGUAUCCGUUGAUGGUGAAAUUGUCUUCCAGACUGGUAUGGUCGGUUAUUCAGAAUCACUCACGGAUCCUUCUUAUCAUGCUCAAAUUCUGGUGCUAACAUAUCCGCUUAUAGGAAAUUAUGGUGUUUUUGGUAAUGAAAAGGAUGAGAAUGAUAUACCAUACUGGUUCGAGUCUCAUCGCAUUUGGGCCGCGGGUCUAGUAGUCGGAGAAAUUUGUGAAAAGCCUAGUCAUUGGCGACAAACUAAGACGCUAUCCACAUGGAUGAAAGAACAAAAUGUACCUGGAAUAUGUGAGAUUGACACACGAGCAUUGACAAAAAUUAUUCGCGAGAAAGGUACUAUAUUGGGCAGAAUAAUUUUUGGUCAACCACCAUUAAUGACUCUGCCAAUAAUGCCUCCAAUAGAAGAUCCCAAUAAGAGAAAUCUUGUUGCGGAAGUUUCUUGGCCGACCUCAAAUGUAUAUCCAAUAUAUAAUCCGAAUGGAUAUCCUCGUAUAUGCGUGGUUGAUUGUGGAUUAAAAUAUAAUCAACUGAGAUGUCUAUUAAGACGUGGUGCUCGUGUGGACGUUGUGCCAUGGAACUAUAAUUUGAGUGUUACCGAAUAUGACGGUUUAUUUCUUAGCAAUGGUCCGGGCGAUCCCAGCAUGUGUCAAGUAACAAUAAAAAAUAUCCGAAUAGUUCUCACGCAGAAGAAGAGAACACCUAUUUUUGGCAUAUGUCUUGGACAUCAAUUACUAUCCAUAGCCGCUGGUUGUGUUACAUAUAAAAUGAACUAUGGCAAUCGAGGUCACAAUCAACCGGCGACGCAUCAUAGUACCGGACGUUGUUACAUGACUUCGCAAAAUCACGGAUUUUGCGUCGAUGCGGCCCAAUUACCAUCCGAUUGGGAGGUGCUCUUUACUAACACUAAUGACAAUAGCAAUGAGGGUAUAGUUCAUUCAAAUCUGCCAUAUUUCUCCGUUCAAUUUCAUCCGGAACAUACAGCAGGGCCCGAGGAUCUCGAAUGUCUCUUCGAUGUAUUUUUGGAAAGCGUGAAGGAUGAAAUUGAGGGUCAUCCUUGGAUCUCUAUAAAAGAUAGGCUCACUCAAAAGCUAAUUUAUGAAUCUCCGGUUCUAAUUACACUCGAACCUCGACCUAAGAAAGUGUUAAUUUUGGGCUCGGGAGGACUCAGCAUUGGUCAAGCUGGAGAAUUCGAUUAUUCAGGCUCGCAGGCAAUAAAAGCAUUAAAAGAAGAAUCGAUACAAACUCUUUUGAUAAAUCCUAAUAUCGCCACGGUACAAACAUCAAAAGGCAUGGCCGAUAAAGUGUAUUUCUUGCCAAUUAUACCAGAAUACGUCGAGCAGGUAAUACGAUCAGAAAGACCGGAUGGCGUAUUAUUAACAUUUGGUGGACAAACCGCCCUCAACUGCGGCGUAGAACUUGAAAGAAAUGGUGUGUUUGAAAAGUACAAUGUUAAAAUUCUAGGGACGCCAAUCGAAUCCAUCAUACAAACUGAAGAUAGAAAGAUAUUUGCAGAUCGUAUCAGUGAGAUAAAUGAAAGAGUCGCACCAAGUGCUGCCGUAUAUUCUGUUCAAGAGGCAUUAGAAGCCGCUGAAAAACUGGGUUAUCCCGUAAUGGCGCGCGCUGCGUUCUCGCUCGGUGGUCUCGGAUCAGGUUUUGCUAAUACAAAAGAAGAGCUGAAAAUGCUAGCGCAACAAGCUUUAGCUCACUCCAGUCAAUUAAUAAUUGAUAAAUCACUACAAGGCUGGAAGGAGGUAGAAUAUGAGGUUGUGCGCGAUGCAUAUGAUAAUUGUAUCACGGUAUGCAAUAUGGAAAACGUUGAUCCUCUCGGCAUUCAUACUGGUGAAUCAAUUGUCGUUGCGCCAAGUCAGACAUUGUCCAAUAAAGAAUAUAAUAUGCUACGAACAACGGCUAUUAAGGUCAUUAGACAUUUCGGCAUUGUCGGAGAAUGUAAUAUUCAAUAUGCACUCAAUCCUUUUUCCGAAGAAUAUUAUAUUAUCGAAGUGAACGCUAGAUUGUCUAGAAGCUCGGCUUUAGCUAGUAAAGCUACCGGCUAUCCUUUGGCUUAUGUCGCUGCCAAAUUAGCUCUUGGAAUACGUUUGUCGGAUAUUCGCAACUCUGUCACUGGAGAAACAACAGCUUGUUUUGAACCGAGUCUUGAUUAUUGUGUAGUUAAAAUACCCAGAUGGGAUCUAAGCAAAUUUCACCGUGUCAGCACCAAGAUUGGCAGUUCUAUGAAGAGCGUAGGUGAAGUAAUGGCGAUUGGACGUAAAUUUGAGGAAGCUUUUCAGAAGGCAUUGAGAAUGGUUAAUGAAAAUGUGAAUGGGUUCGAUCCUUAUGUGAAGACUAUCAACGAUGAGGAAUUAGAAAAACCGACCGAUAAAAGAAUGUUCGUUCUCGCUGCUUCGAUCAAAGCCGGUUACACGAUCGAUCGAUUAUAUGAACUCACCAAAAUAGAUCGCUGGUUUCUUGAAAAAAUGAAGAACAUUAUCGAUUAUUAUGUACUCUUGGAAAAUAUCGAUCGUACGAAACUUUCGCAUGACUUGCUGCUGGGUGCAAAGCAGAAUGGCUUCUCCGAUAAACAGAUUGCUGCCCUGGUGAAGAGCUCCGAAUUAGCUGUCAGAAUACAAAGACAGGAAAAUAAUAUUCGACCAAUGGUCAAGCAAAUUGAUACAGUCGCCGCUGAAUGGCCGGCCACUACAAACUAUCUUUAUCUAACGUAUAAUGGCACUAGUCACGAUGUAGAAUUUCCUGGCGGAUACACAAUGGUGAUAGGUUCCGGAGUGUAUAGAAUCGGCAGUUCAGUAGAAUUUGAUUGGUGUGCCGUGAGUUGCCUACGUGAAUUGCGAAAUCUUGAACGUAAAACGAUAAUGAUCAAUUAUAAUCCAGAGACGGUCAGUACAGACUAUGAUAUGAGUGAUAGAUUGUACUUUGAGGAGAUCUCCUUCGAAGUUGUAAUGGACAUUUAUGAUUGUGAAUGUCCAGAAGGUAUAAUAUUGUCAAUGGGUGGACAGUUACCAAAUAAUAUUGCUAUGGAUUUGCACAGACAGCAAGCUCGAAUACUUGGAACAUCGCCAGAAUCCGUCGAUGGCGCCGAAAAUCGUUUUAAAUUUUCUCGCAUGCUCGAUAGCAUCGGUAUAUCGCAACCAAGAUGGAAAGAAUUAACAAAUUUGAAAUCUGCUAUUGAAUUUUGUGACGAAGUUGGCUAUCCAUGUCUCGUUCGACCUUCGUAUGUGUUAAGUGGAGCCGCAAUGAAUGUUGCCUAUUCAAAUCAGGAUCUCGAGUCUUAUUUGAAAAGCGCGAGUGAAGUUAGUAAAGAACAUCCCGUAGUGAUAUCGAAAUUUAUUCUUGAAGCGAAAGAAAUCGACGUCGAUGCCGUCGCUUAUGAAGGAAUUAUAUUAUGCAUGGCAGUAUCUGAACAUGUUGAAAAUGCAGGUGUUCAUUCAGGAGAUGCCACAUUAGUAACGCCACCACAAGAUAUCAAUGAGCAAACUCUGGCGAAAAUAAAAAGUAUCUCAAAAGCAGUGGCGGCAUCCCUGGGAGUCACUGGUCCUUUCAAUAUGCAAUUAAUUGCAAAGGAUAACGAGUUAAAAGUGAUCGAGUGUAACGUAAGAGUAUCCAGAUCUUUUCCUUUCGUCUCGAAAACCUUAGAUCACGACUUCGUCGCGACGGCAACCCGUUUAAUCAUCGGCGAAACAAUUGAGCCUGUGGACGUUUUAGCUGGCUGUGGAAGAGUUGGAGUAAAAGUGCCGCAAUUUUCUUUUUCCCGUCUUGCUGGUGCUGAUGUGAUGCUGGGUGUUGAAAUGGUAUCCACUGGAGAAGUAGGCUGUUUCGGUGAAAAUCGCUACGAAGCUUAUUUGAAAGGCAUGAUAAGCACUGGUUUUCACAUUCCUCAAAGAGGUAUUUUGCUCUCUGUAGGAAGUUUUAAGCACAAAAUGGAAUUGCUUGGGUCUAUUAGGAAUUUGAAAAACAUGGGAUACAAAUUAUAUGCUAGCAUGGGUACUGCCGAUUUCUACACUGAACAUGGAGUCGAAGUAGAACCAGUACAAUGGACGUUUGAAAAUAUUGCCGUGAACGAAGAUUCUAGUCCGAGUGAGCUUCGACAUCUAGCUGACUUUUUGUCAAAAAAGCAAUUUGAUCUUGUUAUUAAUCUGCCAAUGAGGAAUGGUGGUGCUCGACGCGUUUCCAAUUUUAUGACGCAUGGUUAUCGGACAAGGAGACUAGCAGUUGAUUAUUCCGUACCUUUAAUUACGGAUGUUAAAUGUGCGAAGCUUUUAGUUGAGGCGAUGAGAAUGAUUGGUGGAAAAGCACCGCAGAUGAAAACCUAUAUCGAUUGUGUGUCGUCGCGCAGGAUGAUCAGACUACCCGGCCUCAUUGAUGUGCAUGUACAUACUCGUGAUCCUGGAGCGAUUCAUAAAGAGGAUUUUGCUUCUUGUACCGCGGCAGCGCUCGCCGGAGGCAUCACAAUGAUCUUUGCAAUGCCCAAUACCAAUCCAGCGGUAGUGGAUCAUCAAACUUUUGCCAUUGCCAAAGAACGAGCUGCAGCUGGUUCACAUUGCGAUUACGCGCUCUUUAUCGGCGCCUCAUCAGACAAUUAUAAUAUCAUACGAGAAAUAGCACCGCAUGCUGCUGCUCUGAAAAUGUAUCUAAACGAAACAUUUACGACACUUCGUCUCAUGGAUCUCACUGUUUGGAUCAAGCAUUUCGAAAGCUGGCCUAAAAAAUAUCCUUUAUGCGUGCACGCGGAAGGACAAACUACAGCUGCGGUCCUUUUGCUGGCAAGUUUACAUAAUAGACCGAUUCAUGUAUGUCAUGUAGCACGAAAGGAGGAAAUAGAAAUUAUACGCGCUGCCAAGGAACAUGGAUUGGCAGUUACGUGUGAAGUAUGUCCACAUCACUUAUUCCUUUGCCAAGAUGACUUGGAUCGGAUAGGCAGCAAAAGAGGUCAGGUAAGACCCAUUCUGGGCACAAAAGAGGACCAACAGGCUCUUUGGGAUAAUUUGGAUGUUAUUGAUUGCUUUGCAACCGAUCAUGCUCCACACACUGCGCAAGAAAAAACUUCUGAGAAACCACCGCCAGGAUUUCCUGGAUUAGAAACUAUGCUACCACUGUUACUUAACAGUGUGCAUGAAGGAAGAUUGACUAUGGAGGACAUUAUUGACAGAUUAUAUCGAAAUCCCAAAAGAAUUUUCGGUAUUCCUGAUCAGCGUAACACAUAUGUCGAAAUCGAUUUAGAUGACGAAUGGACCAUUCCGGAAGCAAUGCCAUUUAGCAAAUCAAAGUGGACGCCUUUUGCUGGUAUAAAGGUUCACGGUUCUGUGCAUAGAGUAGUUUUGAGAGGCGAGGUUGCUUACGUUGAGGGAAAAGUUUUGGUAAAUCCUGGAUUCGGUCAAAAUAUUAGAGAUAUACAAUACAAGACGAAAAUUCCACCAACGCAUCAUAUACCGAUGACAUCCAGCCAGUCCACAGAUGCCAUCUAUAAACCAUUGUCACUAUUGGACGGUCUUUUAUCGCCAAAUUAUGAAAAAUCUAACAUACAUGCUGAUCACGUCGCUGAUUUGUAUGAGGAGGAACGAAUUGAAUCAUUUACGCAUCCCCUACAACUGGCAUCGCACAAGUCGAGUGUACAUUUCGUGCUAGAUAGUGAAACAAGAGAUUCUAAAAUAUUAUCUUCUCAAAGGACUGUCUCACCAUUGCCAAUUAGCAAUGUCACCAGAUACAAAAGCGAUAGUAAUUCGAAUCUUCUUACGUCUGCUGUCGCAUCUGUUCCAACCGUCCAUGCAAGCAGCAGUCUAAUCGGACAUCAUAUACUUACUGUAGAUAUAUUUAACAAAGAAAUAUUAAAAGAUAUAUUUCAUCUUGCGGAGACUUUACGAAAUGCUAUUAGGAAAGAGCGACCGUUAGACCAUAUUUUAAAGGGAAAAAUUAUGGCUUCCAUCUUCUAUGAAGUCAGCACGAGAACAUCAUGCAGUUUUGCUGCUGCCAUGGAACGUCUUGGUGGUCGUGUGAUAUAUAUGGAUGGUUCUACAUCAUCAGUAAAAAAAGGAGAAACCUUAGAAGAUUCUAUAGCAGUCAUGGCAGGAUACGCGGAUGUGGUUGUACUCAGACAUUCGGAGCCAGGCGCAGUAGCUAGAGCAGCUCUACAUUGUAGAAAACCAUUGUUAAACGCUGGCGAUGGAGUUGGCGAACACCCAACUCAAGCGUUGCUCGAUAUUUUUACAAUUAGAGACGAAUUCGGAACUGUGAAUGGCCUUACAAUUACGAUGGUAGGAGAUUUGAAACACGGCAGGACCGUUCAUUCUCUUGCAAGAUUGCUGACUCUAUACAAUGUGGAGCUUCGCUACGUGAGUCCACCUGGCCUAGGUAUGCCAGAUCAUAUUAUUAAUUAUGUAGCCGAACGUCAAAUUUCCCAAGAAAAGUUUUCAACCUUGGAAGAUGCCUUACCCGAUACAGAUGUUCUUUACAUGACACGAAUACAACGUGAACGUUUUACUACACAAGAGGAAUACCAUCAGAUUUUGCUAAGGUUUGUUACAAAUUCUUAUCAGCAAAAAGGCCACAAUUUGCGUAUAAGUGCUAUUACAAAUUUUGAUGACAGCAAAAACCGAACAAAAUUUAUUGGCAAAACCUGAUCGCAAAUGGACAGCAAAAAGCAAGCAAAGCUUGCUAAUAUACUUGACAUCAAAUUGUCGGUAAAAAUCAAGCAAGAUCUGAGCAUGAAAGCAAUUGACAGCAAAUUGUCAACAAAUUGACUGAUACUAACAUAAGAUCCAAAGUACUUUUUGGUCAGUUUAAUUUUUGAUAAACUGACUUAAAAUAAUUUGUUUAAUAAUCUCCAUUCCUUCUGGAUUAUUGGAAUUCAGAAUAUUACCCAGAGAGCCAAGCUUAACAUAUUCAGCAAACAAAUGCAUUGCAUGUAUUAUUAUAUAUUUGCAGUAUGCUUGCUGACAUCGAAAUAUGCGUUACGAAUACAGCUAUAUGUCUGCUUCUACAUGCAAUCAAUUAAAGAAGCAAAUGGUCUGCAAUAUUGGUAUAUUACGUUGUCUACAACAUGUCAGCAUUAUGCUGACACGUUGCAAUCAAUUUGCUGUUAUUAGCACAUAAAUUCAUGUGAGUUCAACGUAACGGACAUAAUGUUGUUUCACCUCGUUUAUGGUUUAUUAAAAUUAGUUGCUUCAACAAUUAUUGGCAACAUCUCAGCAACCUCAUUGCAUUUUGCCUUCUGGAGUAAUAAAUAAAUUAUAUGAAAUUAAAUGAGUAAAUGGGAAAUAGUUAAUUUAUUGUGUG